rnacentral:rRNA from 1 species
GAACUUAAGCAUAUCAAUAAGCGGAGGAAAAGAAACUAACAAGGAUUCCCUCAGUAACUGCGAGUGAAGUGGGAAAAGCUCAAAUUUGAAAUCUGGCAGCUCUUUCAGGUUGUCCGAGUUGUAAUCUAGAGAAGCGUUACCUGUGUUGGACCGUGUAAAAGUCUUCUGGAAUGGAGCAUCAUAGAGGGUGAGAAUCCCGUCUUUGACAUGGACUACCAGCAUGCCAAGGUGCACUCUCAAAGAGUCGAGUUGUUUGGGAAUGCAGCUCAAAAUGGGUGGUAAAUGCCAUCUAAAGCUAAAUAUUGGCGAGAGACCGAUAGCGAACAAGUACCGUGAGGGAAAGAUGAAAAGAACUUUGGAAAGAGAGUUAAACAGUACGUGAAAUUGCUGAAAGGGAAACGCUUAAAGUCAGUCGCAUUAGCUGGAAAUCAGGCUUGCUUUUGCAAGGUGCACUUUCUAGUUGAUGGGUCAGCAUCAAUUUUAAUCGUUGGAUAAAGUCAUUGGGAAUGUAGCAUCUUUGGAUGUGUUAUAGCCCAGUGUUGAAUACAGCGGUCAGGAUUGAGGAAUUCAGCAUGCCUCUAGGGGCCAGGUUUCGACCAUGUUCAUGCUUAGGAUGCUGGCAUAAUGGCUUUAAUCGACCCGUCUUGAAACACGGACCAAGGAGUCUAACAUGCCUGCGAGUGUUUGGGUGAAAAACCCAUACGCACAAUGAAAGUGAAAGUUGAGAUCCUUAGGGAGCAUUGACGCCCGGACCAGACCUUCUGUGACGGAUCCGCGGUAGAGCAUGUAUGUUGGGACCCGAAA